rnacentral:sRNA from 1 species
ACCUAACCCCGAUUGAAGCGAAAAUCCUUAUAAGCCGGGGUUCGGCUUAUAAGAUUGUAGUGAAAAGCGGGACUACAC